UACAGAGGGGGCAAGCGUUGUUCGGAAUUACUGGGCGUAAAGGGUUUGUAGGUGGCCAACUAAGUCAGACGUGAAAUCCCUCAGCUUAACUGGGGAACUGCGUCUGAGACUGGAUGGCUCGAGUGCAGGAGAGGAACGCGGAAUUCCAGGUGUAGCGGUGAAAUGCGUAGAUAUCUGGAGGAACACCGGUGGCGAAGGCGGCAUCCUGGACCAUAACUGACACUGAUAAGCGAAAGCCAGGGGAGCAAACGGG
rnacentral:rRNA from 1 species